rnacentral:rRNA from 1 species
GUGGUGAAUUUUGGACAAUGGGCGAAAGCCUGAUCCAGCCAUGCCGCGUGCAGGAUGAAGGCCUUCGGGUUGUAAACCGCUUUUGUACGGAACGAAAAGACUCUGGUUAAUACCUGGGGUCCAUGACGGUACCGUAAGAAUAAGCACCGGCUAACUACGUGCCAGCAGCCGCGGUAAUACGUAGGGUGCAAGCGUUAAUCGGAAUUACUGGGCGUAAAGCGUGCGCAGGCGGUUAUAUAAGACAGAUGUGAAAUCCCCGGGCUCAACCUGGGAACUGCAUUUGUGACUGUAGAGCUAGAGUACGGCAGAGGGGGAUGGAAUUCCGCGUGUAGCAGUGAAAUGCGUAGAUAUGCGGAGGAACACCGAUGGCGAAGGCAAUCCCCUGGGCCUGUACUGACGCUCAUGCACGAAAGCGUGGGGAGCAAACAGGAUUAGAUACCCGAGUAGUCC